rnacentral:rRNA from 1 species
GAUGAACGCUGGCGGCGUGCCUAAUACAUGCAAGUCGAGCGAACGGACGAGAAGCUUGCUUCUCUGAUGUUAGCGGCGGACGGGUGAGUAACACGUGGAUAACCUACCUAUAAGACUGGGAUAACUUCGGGAAACCGGAGCUAAUACCGGAUAAUAUUUUGAACCGCAUUGUUCAAAAGUGAAAGUCGGUCUUGCUGUCACUUAUAGAUGGAUCCGCGCUGCAUUAGCUAGUUGGUAAGGUAACGGCUUACCAAGGCAACGAUGCAUACCCGACCUGAGAGGGUGAUCGGACACAUGGGAACUGAGACACGGUCCAGACUCCUACGGGGGGCAGCAGUAGGGAAUCUUCCGCGAGGGGCGAAAGCCGGACGGAGCAACGCCGCGUGAGUGAUGAAGGUCUUCGGAUCGUAAAACUCUGUUAGUAGUGAAGAACAUAUGUGUAAGUAACUGUGCACAUCUUGACGGUACCUAAUGAGAAAGCCACGGCUAACUACGUG